UGUUUAUGCUGAAUCUCCUUUCUUGUAACUUGAAGCCAUUGGUUUGAACCCUCCAGAGCAGGAGAAAACAAGCUUGCUGCAUCUUCCAUGGGAAAGCUCUUUAGAUAUUUGAAGAGCGCUAUCAUAUUUUCUCUCAGACUCCUCUUUUCCAGGCUAAGCAUGCCCAGCUUCCUCAACC